rnacentral:rRNA from 1 species
UCCUGGCUCAGGACGAACGCUGGCGGCGUGCUUAACACAUGCAAGUCGAACGGGAGUAUUGAAGAAGCUUGCUUAGAGAUACUUUAGUGGCGGACGGGUGAGUAACGCGUGAGGAGCUGUCCUAUGCAGGGGGACAACAGCUGGAAACGGCUGCUAAUACCCCAUAAGCCGAGAGGUAAAAGGAUCAAUCCGGCAGAGGAGGUACUCGCGUCCUAUCAGCUAGUAGGUGAGGUAACGGCUCACCUAGGCGAAGACGGGUAGCCGGCCUGAGAGGGCGAACGGCCACACUGGAACUGAGAUACGGUCCAGACUCCUACGGGAGGCAGCAGUGGGGAAUAUUGGGCAAUGGGGGGAAAAACCCCCUGACCCAGCGACGCCGCGUGGGUGAAGAAAUCCUUCGGGAUGUAAAGCCCUGUUGUAUGGGAAGAGCGGAAGACGGUACCAUACGAGGAAGCCCCGGCAAACUACGUGCCAGCCGCCGC